rnacentral:piRNA from 1 species
UUGAAAUAUGAAUCGGCAGAU